ACAAAACGACUCUCGGCAACGGAUAUCUCGGCUCUCGCAUCGAUGAAGAACGUAGCGAAAUGCGAUACUUGGUGUGAAUUGCAGAAUCCCGUGAACCAUCGAGUCUUUGAACGCAAGUUGCGCCCAAAGCCUUUUGGUUGAGGGCACGUCUGCCUGGGU
rnacentral:rRNA from 2 species